UAACGCAGCUAACGCGUGAAGUAGACCGCCUGGGGAGUACGGUCGCAAGAUUAAAACUCAAAUGAAUUGACGGGGGCCCGCACAAGCGGUGGAUUAUGUGGAUUAAUUCGAUGCAACGCGAAAAACCUUACCUGGCCUUGACAUGUAACGAACUUUCCAGAGAUGGAUUGGUGCUCGAAAGAGAACGUUAACACAGGUGCUGCAUGGCUGUCGUCAGCUCGUGUCGUGAGAUGUUGGGUUAAGUCCCGCAACGAGCGCAACCCUUGCCAUUAAUUGCCAUCAUUUAGUUGGGCACUUUAAUGGGACUGCCAGUGACAAACCGGAGGAAGGUGGGGAUGACGUCAAGUCCUCAUGGCCCUUAUGGCCAGGGCUUCACACGUAAUACAAUGGUCGGUACAGAGGGUUGCCAAGCCGCGAGGUGGAGCCAAUCCCAGAAAGCCGAUCGUAGUCCGGAUUGUAGUCUGCAACUCGACUACGUGAAGUCGGAAUCGCUAGUAAUCGCGGAUCAGCAUGUCGCGGUGAAUACGUUCCCGGGCCUUGUACACACCGCCCGUCACACCAUGGGAGUGGGUUUUACCAGAAGUA
rnacentral:rRNA from 1 species